UGCCACAUGGUGUAAUGGUAGCACAGCAGUCUCUGGAACUGCUUGUCUAGGUUCGAAUCCUAGUGUGGCAACCA
rnacentral:tRNA from 1 species